rnacentral:rRNA from 1 species
AGCGAACGCUGGCGGCAGGCCUAACACAUGCAAGUCGAACGACAUCUUCGGAGUUAGUGGCGGACAGGUGAGUCACACGUGGGAACGUGCCUUUUGAUUCGGAAUAACACAGGGAAAAUUGUGCUAAUACCGAAUGUGCCCUUCGGGGGACAGAUUCAUCACCAUUAGAACGGCCCGCGUCUUAUUAGCUAGUUGGUGAGGUAACGGCUCACCAAGGCGACGAUCAUUAGCUGGUCUGAGAGGAGGACCAGCCACACUGGGACUGAGACACGGCCCAGACUCCGACAGGAGGCAGAAGUGGGGAAUCUUGCGCAAUGGGCGAAAGCCUGACGCAGCCAUGCCGCGUGAAUGAUGAAGGUCUUAGGAUUGUAAAAGGCUUUCACCGCGGUCGAUAAUGACGGUACCCGGAGAAGAAGCCGCGGCUAACUUCG